CUUCACCGCGCCCAGCAGCAGCGGCUGCUCCGCAGGCCGCCCCUGGCCGUAGGUGGCGAGGAGCGCCUGCGCCUC
rnacentral:antisense_RNA from 1 species